UGUUAAAAAUUUAUCUAUUUCUAUUGUUAAAAAUUUGCAUUGCUAAUGAAAUUAGAUAGUUACAUGGUUUCAUCCCAUAUAUACCUCACGCUAAUAUAUGGAAACCAGUUUUUAACAGUAAAAAUGUAUAAAAUUUUUAGCA
rfam:Gossypium hirsutum cultivar TM-1 unplaced genomic scaffold scaffold587.1, whole genome shotgun sequence